rnacentral:lncRNA from 1 species
AUCGCAUGACAGACAGCAGCCCCGAAACAAAGUAUUUUACCCCCAAAUAUAUUUCUUUAGCAUAUUUUGAAAUGGCCCUGCAAAGCUGCCUCUUGUGGGGGAAAUUUACAUUCUAUAGAGGAUUCCCUUCCCUUUGAUUUCAUACAUUUUAGGGAGACACAAGACAUCAAGCGAUAUAUGUGAGGUAUGCACUGGUUCAGUCUGGAAAGGAGGGACAACUCAAAGCUGAAGUUUGGGGGUGGUGGCCUUACAGGUCACAAGUGGAUUCAAAGAUUUUCUGAUUGGCAACUAGUUGAAAGAGUUUAUCUAAAGGCCUGGAGUCAAU